UUGGGCCACGUGUCACUUAAUUAGGGCAUCCUCAGUUCUCUUUUCCCGCCCAACAGUACCACUGCCCUCCUCUAUUUAUAUCAUCCCUCAUUUACUCAUUUAGGGCUAAUGCUUUCUUUCUCUCUCUGCUCUGCUCUAUUCCGAUCUAUGUUUAUCCUCUCUGAUGUUUAUCUUUCUUCUUCUUCUUCUCAUAUUCAUCUCCUCAACAAUGUUCGGCAGAGGUUACUUCUAUUGGAUACAUCUGCGUUUGAAACCCUAAAUCAUGUACCGUCGAGUGGUUGAAGAAGAGAAUAAUCAUAAGAAGAAACAGAUCUCCUAGGGUUUCUUAUCGUACUCGAUGAACGCUUUUGUACAAGCUCCUCUUAAUCGGUGACUCUGAGUUUGUUGAUUAGAAGCAACCUCUGCCAGACGGUUGUUGAGGAGAUGGAAAUGUGAAAGGUGAUACCAGGUGUGUUGAUAGGUGAUACCAGUACAAAAGUUUAGAACAUCACCAAGGUAACUUAAAUUGGUGUGAUUUACUUUUUGGUAUUUCUAACGUUUUGAUUUACUGUUUAUUGGUGCAUUGAUUCAUUUGUAAUCCUUUGCAGAUCUCCCGUCAUCUCAAUUUGAGCAAUUAAACGUAGUUUUGUUAAACACUAUCGGUGUUUUAAUUACUAGCAGUGCUUAAAAAGUUUUCCAUCGGCUGUUUGACUUAACAAUAGUUUGCGUUAUUUAUUCUAAAUUCAUCAGUUUUUGUAGGCAAACUGAAGUUUCCUACAAUAGGCACAGCCCAGCUAAGUUUCCUACAAUGACAGUGGUUAUAACAAGUUAAUAUGGCAAAUCACUGAUCUGCCUAACAAGUGUUGGAUAUAAUGAUGGUUGUACAUAAAGUUUGAUAAACAUCAUCCACUGUUCAAUUAUGAAAAACCACUGAUCAAGACCAAAGUCCAGACAAGCACUGAUCAACUAAAUGUGAAACACUCUCCAACAACAGUGGUUCCCCAUCAACAUUAGUUGUUCUAUCUUUGUUUAUGUUAACAGUGUUUAUUCUAUCUUUGUUUAUUUUAACAGUGCUUAUAUGUAACAUAAUUUAUCCUAUCACUUCAGUGUUU